CCACCGUCUUCUCUAAAUUCGCCGUUUACUCGACCACACUGUUACGUCUCUCAUUCGUGUACAGUCGACCGCUAUACCCGAAGCCACAAUAUCACUGUACUCGACCGUUUCACUCGACCGCGUACUUGACUGGUUUAGUGUGUGUGUUUAUUUGAACUAACAUAUUGAUAUUUGGUUUUGAGUUACAUUCUUUUUCAGGGAAUCAAUAUGAGUAACUACAGUGGCGAAUCCUCCAUGGAUGCGGAUUACAACGUCGAUGAAGCUGAAUCUUGGUCAACUAGACCAGAGAGAGAGCAACAGGCUUAUGAGAGCUUCAGAGCCGAGACCCAACGCUCAGUAGCUCGACGCAAUGAAAGGAGAGCUGAGAUUGCUAGAGGAAAGAUAGCGAUGACCAGCAGAUAUGAGUUGAUCGACGAAGAUAUUGACGUCGAGUAUGAGCCUGAGUCAUGGCACAGAGAAACAAAACUGUUGAAUAAGCCUGAUGAAGUUACAGUGGAGGAGUACAUCAGACUUUUCGAGCUGAACGACUUCUGGGGAACGAGGUACCCCUGUUAUGAGACUCUAGCCCAGCUUGGGCUACUGGAGGACGUACAGCACUUAUUCGAGAAGUGCCAUCUUGAGACGCUGAUGUCUUACCCGUACAUCGCUUACAAGAAGGAAACAAUAGAGUUUCUCUCCACUCUGCAAGUGGAGUUGUAUCAGGGACUUACUGCAGAUGAACUGGAGAGUGAAGGGUUGGGGUUCUUGACUUUUUCAGUUAACGAGCAGCGUUACCAGCUAUCUAUCAAGAGCUUGGAAGGAUUAUUUGGUUUUCCCAGUGGAAAGGAAACUAAACCCAAGUUCGAAAGGGAAGAGUUGAAGGAUUUGUGGUUAACCAUUGGGAACGAUUUGGCGCUCAACUCUGCAAGGUCUAAGAGCAACCAGAUUCGAAGCCCUGUGAUCCGCUACAAUCAGCGCUUAGUAGCGAAUGUUCUGUACCCCAGGGAAUCUACAGGCACCGUGUCUAACACAGACAUGGAGAUGAUUGAUUCUGCACUCAAGGGUAUUCUCCGGAGAACAAAGGGGAAGAAGGUCCUAAAGGGCGACCUUAAUGAUACACCACCGGUCAUGCUUCUGUUGAUCCAUAUGUGUGGAUACAGGAAGUGGGCGCACACCAACAGGAGGAAGAAGGUGCGAGGAGCCCUUUGUGUGGGUGGCGUUGUGACACCGAUUCUGAUUGCAUGUGGUGUACCUCUCAAAUCUCCAGGGUUUGAUCCGAGGAUGAUGGAUUUAGAUCACUUGCGUCGUUGUGAGUUUCUGGAAUACGACAUGGUUGGCGAUUUUUAUCGCUACAAAUUCGAGCACUCCCUGACCCGAACAGCCAACAUUUUGCUUCCCUGCAUCGAGGCCACAACCAUACUUCAGGGUGAGAACAUUGACUUCAGACUUGCGCGUGAUUACCUCUACUUUGAGAGCGCUCCACCGACUGAUGACAAUGUCCCUACGACGGAAGCUACAGAGGAUGAUAUUGCUGAGACGGAUGAGGAUAGGGAGGAGGAGUAUGAUACGAGCAUGUAUCAUUUCAGUGAGCACGUACCUCCAGCGCGGGAGAGCAAGAGCUUGAGUGAAGCUCACAGAACCAACAGUAAGUUGCAGAGGUGGUGCAAGAAACAAGAUAGGCUACUUAUCAAGUGCUUCAAAGCCAUCACGUUUCUGACAGACAAGAUAAGCUGCUUCUCUUCUACUACAGCUAUUCCGCAGGGAGAGCGUCCUCAGGACAUGCCUUCGAGGAGAUAUGACGCGCCAGGGCCAAGUCAUCACAGGCUUGAGCCAAGUCACCACAGGCCUGAGCCUAGUGACCGAGUAGUCCCACCAGUCCCUGCGAGGCAUUCAUCAUUCGAGCCUCGGGAGCUCGGGAGAAAGAAGAAGGCUGCACUCGCUCGGUCUGGCAGUAGGAGUACACGACUUUUCCAAUCCCGUAGCUUACGCGACCGCGGUGCUGGCCGCAGCAGAAGAAGAGAGGUCGAGUAUCAUCACAGCGGUGCUGGCCGCGACGAAGGAGCAGAGGUCGAGUACCCCCAGGGGGAAGCUGGGACACAACAGGGAGAUUCUUCGAUGGCCUGGAAGCAAUCACAGACAGCUAUUGACGACCAACUCCGCUCCUUCUUCCACUGAGGUAUGCACCUCACUCCACCAUUGUAAUAUACCAUCUCUUGUUUUUAUUUUGUUUUUGUGAUGUGUUUUUGUCCUGAGUACUCUCUUCCAAAUUUGGUCACACAGUGGACUGUGUGAUUUAAGUUUGGGGGAGGGCUCAGGAAGUGUGUGUUGCAUUGUAUAAUCUUGAGUCUGCAUUCAUCUAAGGCAUAGAAAAACCAAAAAAAUUGAAAAAUUCCAGAAAAUGAUUUCACAAAAAUAGAGUGUUCAUGUAGUUGCAUUGCAUUUAGGAUCGAGUCUAGAGUGUUUCGUUUAGGAUUGUUGCAUAUGCAUAGGGGAUAAUGAUGAGAUAGCCUUGUAAGCAUUUUGGUUCACCAGAUAAGCUCAGUGCCCUCGUUGUUAGUUGUUUGAUGCGUUGUCAUUGAAAUUGAAGUAAGAACUGCACCAUGCCUAGAUUGCUCUACUCGACCACACUGUUAGGAUCUGAUAUCAUUCCCUAUCAAUUUGAACUUGAAUCUGAUUUAGAAUUAUCAUGUCUUGGCAUCGAAUUUGAACUCAUGGAUACCCUAAAAUACUUGGAUUUUCUUACUCAUUUUAACCACUCUUGUUGAUCCAAGUAGCUGACUCUCCUUAUUAGAGCAGUUAACCCAUACCCAAACCUGAACUUUCUUUCAAGCCCUAUAUCACUUGUGAGUGUUUGUGAGGUCUUAUUUCGAUUGAGCUUGGUAGAAAGUGUUAGGUUCGUAACGACAGAGAUAGUGUCUCAUGUAGUUCUAGUUCGCGUUCUUCAGACUGGAUAGGACUAGGUGGGCGCUUAUAUCAUGGGUUGGGAUGUGUUUAAAAGAAAAGAGGGAAUCCAUUGUUGAUGAGGAAAGGGAAAGAAUUCCAGGGGAAGUAAGCUAAAGAAGUUAGAAAAAAAAUCUAGUAAAGGUUUUGGGAAUGUUAAAGAAAAGAAUGAGGUUCUUGUUAGCUAAAGAAGAAGGGUUAAAAGCCUUUGGUUUUAAAAAAAAAA
rnacentral:sRNA from 1 species